UCAGGAUUCACGGCUGGCAGCGUUUGCGGACGAGGUGUUCCGUAGGAGGAUGUGGGUAUUUAGCCCAAAACUUCGCCGUGUGGUUAGCGGGCGAGAAUACUUCCACAGCCCGCUAUUGCUUGUCGUAAGAGGCGACUAAUAUAGCGACUGGUUCCUCUAACCAUGCUUGUCGGAGCAAAAGGAGGAGGCCCACCGAGCCUCUCUUUCGGUACCACGGGUUGUGCUGCUCCAAGACAGCACAUUGAGGAAGGCCCCCUGGUGGGAGUAUCGUGGUGGCUGUGGUUGAUACCCAUAUCGCGGGUAGAGCCUUCGUGUUCGACGUUUGAGUUACGGUGCUAGUUGCGCAAAACUCGGGUGCUGUGACCCAGAGAUCAGUAGAGAUUUUAGGUAGAUCUCGCUCCUCAGCAAGGGGGAGUGCUUGCCCGGCAAGCAAGUACUCGAAUUGCUACCGGGGUGGUCGCUAUGUACAUAGCUAUAGCUUCCAGUCCGGGACGUUUGUCUGGCGUAUCCAGACUCAUGCACCAUGUUGAUACAUGCACCACUUGUGGGUGUUCAGGGUGUCGUGGUUGUAAUCCCUUCAGUGUGGAACACGCCACGUAAAACAAGUUCGGAGAGGUCCGAAAGUCACUGUCCCUAUCUACUAUCUAGCGAAACCACAGCCAAGGGAACGGGCUUGGAAUAAUUAGCGGGGAAAGAAGACCCUUUUGAGCUUGACUCUAAUCUGGCAGUGUAAGGAGACAUAAGAGGUGUAGAAUAAGUGGGAGAUAUUAGACCUCGGUUUGGUAUCGUCAAUGAAAUACCACUACUCUUAUUGUUUCCUUACUUACUUGAUUAAAUGGAACGUGUAUCAUUUCCUAGCCAUUAUACGGAUAUAUUUAUUAUAUCUUAUGGUAUUGGGUUUUGAUGCAAGCUUCUUGAUCAAAGUAUCACGAGUUUGUUAUAUAAUCGCAAACAAAUUCUUUAAUAAAACGAUGCAUUUAUGUAUUUUUGAUUUGAAAAUUUGGUAUAACUCCAAUUACUCAGGUAUGAUCCAAUUCAAGGACAUUGCCAGGUAGGGAGUUUGACUGGGGCGGUACAUCUCUCAAAUAAUAACGGAGGUGUCCCAAGGCCAGCUCAGUGCGGACAGAAACCACACAUAGAGCAAAAGGGCAAAUGCUGACUUGAUCUCGGUGUUCAGUACACACAGGGACAGCAAAAGCUCGGCCUAUCGAUCCUUUUGGUUUAAAGAGUUUUUAACAAGAGGUGUCAGAAAAGUUACCAUAGGGAUAACUGGCUUGUGGCGGCCAAGCGUUCAUAGCGACGUCGCUUUUUGAUCCUUCGAUGUCGGCUCUUCCUAUCAUUGUGAGCAAAUUCACCAAGCGUUGGAAUUGUUCACCCAUGCAAGGGAACGUGAGCUGGGUUUAGACCGUCG
rnacentral:ncRNA from 1 species